GAUGAACGCUGGCGGCGUGCCUAAUACAUGCAAGUCGAGCGAACAGAUGAGGAGCUUGCUCCUCUGACGUUAGCGGCGGACGGGUGAGUAACACGUGGAUAACCUACCUAUAAGACUGGGAUAACUUCGGGAAACCGGAGCUAAUACCGGAUAAUAUAUUGAACCGCAUGGUUCAAUAGUGAAAGACGGUUUUGCUGUCACUUAUAGAUAGAUCCGCGCCGCAUUAGCUAGUUGGUAAGGUAACGGCUUACCAAGGCAACGAUGCGUAGCCGACCUGAGAGGGUGAUCGGCCACACUGGAACUGAGACACGGUCCAGACUCCUACGGGAGGCAGCAGUAGGGAAUCUUCCGCAAUGGGCGAAAGCCUGACGGAGCAACGCCGCGUGAGUGAUGAAGGUCUUCGGAUCGUAAAACUCUGUUAUUAGGGAAGAACAAAUGUGUAAGUAACUAUGCACGUCUUGACGGUACCUAAUCAGAAAGCCACGGCUAACUACGUG
rnacentral:rRNA from 1 species